rnacentral:miRNA from 1 species
AGGUCUAUUGAUGCUGAGAUU